rnacentral:rRNA from 1 species
CUUAAGCAUAUCAAUAAGCGGAGGAAAAGAAACCAACAGGGAUUGCCCCAGUAACGGCGAGUGAAGCGGCAACAGCUCAAAUUUGAAAUCUGGCCCCAGGCCCGAGUUGUAAUUUGCAGAGGAUGCUUUUGGCGCGGUGCCUUCCGAGUUCCCUGGAACGGGACGCCAUAGAGGGUGAGAGCCCCGUACGGUUGGACACCAAGCCUUUGUAAAGCUCCUUCGACGAGUCGAGUAGUUUGGGAAUGCUGCUCUAAAUGGGAGGUACAUUUCUUCUAAAGCUAAAUAUUGGCCAGAGACCGAUAGCGCACAAGUAGAGUGAUCGAAAGAUGAAAAGCACUUUGAAAAGAGGGUUAAACAGCACGUGAAAUUGUUAAAAGGGAAGCGCUUGUGACCAGACUUGCGUCCGGUGAAUCACCCAGCUCUCGCGGCUGGGGCACUUCGCCGGCACAGGCCAGCAUCAGCUUGCCGUCGGGGACAAAAGCUUCAGGAACGUAGCUCCUCUCGGGGAGUGUUAUAGCCUGUUGUAUAAUACCCUUCGGCGGGCUGAGGUACGCGCUCCGCAAGGAUGCUGGCGUAAUGGUCAUCAGCGACCCGUCUUGAAACACGGACCAAGGAGUCAACCUUAUGUGCGAGUGUUUGGGUGUUAAACCCCUACGCGUAAUGAAAGUGAACGCAGGUGAGAGCUUCGGCGCAUCAUCGACCGAUCCUGAUGUUCUCGGAUGGAUUUGAGUAAGAGCAUAUAGGGUUGGACCCGAAAGAAGGUGAACUAUGCGUGUGUAGGGUGAAGCCAGAGGAAACUCUGGUGGAGGCUCGCAGCGGUUCUGACGUGCAAAUC